UUAAUUACAGGCUCCCUCUUUGUCUGUCUGCCUUUCCUUACAGGACAGAUACAAGAUGUUUGGUUAGGAGCUGAUCUGACACUGUAAAACCACCCAGGGAGACACCGUUACAGUGUAGUGGAUUCCAAGCUCUGCUAGCAACACAAAGGAAAACAAAUUUGUGAAGCAAGAGAGCACUCUAAAUCCAAUUCUGCAAGACCUUCACCACGGUCUCCUCUGAAUUGAAUAGUUUCAAUUUUUCUAGGAACUAAUCACAGAAUAGCAGAAUAAUUAGGGUUGGAAGGGACCUCUGGAGAUCAUCCAGUCCCACACCCCUCCCAAGGCAGGGGCACCUACAGGAGGUGACACAGGAACAUGUCCAGGAGGUCUCCUUUAAAGCAUGGUCUGCUGUUGCCUGGCACACAGAAGCAAACAGUGCCACGUGCUGCACGUCCUGUUGGACAGCUCUGAAAGACAGCAGUAGAGCUGCAAGUUUGGAAAUGAGUUGUGGUUCCUUCUGGGGCCUCUCUACAGCAGGUGGAUAAUAGUUGUCUCUGCUUUGAAGCCAAUACUGUUCACUGCGCUGCUGCCUCGCAUUUAUGUAGUUAUUUAUGGUGAUGUUCACACUGAUUUCUCUAAUUUACUAUGUGAGGUGUAGAAUAACAGUCAGUGGGAUGUAGGAUCUGGCAAUACAUUUUCAGCUAUGUCAGCAAAUACUGCUGAAAUGGCAUUUAUUGACAGAGUGCUAGAGUGACUCCUGAGGAAACAUACACAUGCUAAAGUCCAUCUUCACUAAAUAUUCUCAUUUUGACAGACAGCUAACAUCCCAUAGCACGGCCACAGUUAUACCAGCUACAGGUGACCGUAAAAGAACAGUUCAGUCUAAUAAAUGAAGUGAUACCAUUUAA